rnacentral:lncRNA from 1 species
UUCUAUCUCUCCAGACUUAUUUCAUACAACCACUUCUGUUCUAGGUGUACGGGAAUAAUUUCAGUGCCUAGAGAGACAAUCCAUCUGUCCUGCCCCUCCUACAACACUAAAUAACAAUUUUCUUUAAAUCCAAGGAGCAUUCUAUAUGAGGGGCUUGCAUCAGAUGUGAGGAAUCCCUGAUUCCUUGUGUGGAUGGAUUCAUUCCCACUCAGCUGCAUUCAUCAAGCCUUCUUCAAGCCCUUAACAGACAUGAAAUUUAGGGGAGGUGACACAAGAGAACAAGAUCUAUAAAAAGAGGACCAGAGACCAGAAGAAGAUAUUUGAUUCGAGAUUCGA